rnacentral:tRNA from 1 species
GCCGAAGUGGCGGAAUGGCAGACGCCAGGGACUUAAAAUCCCUUGCCCGCAAGGGCGUGCCCGUUCGAGUCGGGUCUUCGGCACCA